GACGAACGUUGGCGGCGUGCUUAAUACAUGCAAGUCAACUGAAGCAGUGGUAGCAAUCUCGCUGUGGAGGUGGCGCACGGGUGAGUAACACGUAGGUAAUCUGCCUUCAGGUCUGGCAUAACUCCGGGAAACCGGGGCUAAUAGCAGAUGAUGCAGCGGCUCGACAUCGAGACAGUUGUUAAAGCUAUGGCGCCUGAAGAUGAGCCUGCGUCUGAUUAGCUAGUUGGCGGGGUAACGGCCCACCAAGGCAACGAUCAGUAGCUGGUCUGAGAGGAUGAUCAGCCACACUGGGACUGAGACACGGUCCAGACUCCUACGGGAGGCAGCAGUAAGGAAUAUUGCUCAAUGGGAGAAAUCCUGAAGCAGCAACGCCGCGUGAGGGACGAAGGGCUUUUGCUUGUAAACCUCUGUAGUAAGAGAAAAAAAUCCCAAUCUUUGGGACAUGAUGGUAUCUCAAAAGUAAGCCCCGGCUAACUACGUG
rnacentral:rRNA from 1 species